GUUGUGGGCUUAGUGGUGGAGCACUUGCCUAGCAUGCAUGAGGCACUGUGUUCAAUUCCCAGCACCACA
rnacentral:tRNA from 1 species